rnacentral:misc_RNA from 1 species
UCGAUCCUGCUCGAUCCUUCCCGUGAAUCUCCCAACUCAUCUCUGAUAAUAAAUGUCAUUAAAUGUCAUUAUUAAAGUUAUCAAUCAUUUAAUCUAUGGUAUUAGAUUUAUUGACAAGAGGAUUGCAAGAUGUCUAAAAUUGAAUGGGUCGUGGAACCGGUUGAAUAUGAAAAGCCUGCGAGUGCCUUUGGCGAAGAAGUAACGGUGCAUCCUUUGAAGCCCGCUAUGAUACAGAUGGUAGAUGGUCAUGGUGGUAAACAGGUGUCCUUGCACGGAAUUACCGGUAGUACUUCAAUGGGCACUCCAACUCUUUCAUAUAUUCCCAUUAAUAAUUUAGCUACAGAUCCUUUAUUAAAUCAUUCUUCUUUGGAUGGUUCUGAUCCCUUAACGCAAUUUGCUCGCGAGGAUACGGACCCAUUAUCAAAAAUAGCUGCCGAUGAGUGGGACUAUUCAGCUAAUGUGUCAGUUGGUAAGAAAUCGCGAAACAUUUUGGAGGAAAAUGAUGAAUCCUGGGCAGUUAAAAGAGCCUUCAUUCUUGGCAAGUACACAACAUCAGAGAAAUUAUCAAUCAUAACAAGCUUUUUACCAGCUGGUGAGAAAGUCAUUGUAAAAAUUCAACAAACCGGUGCUUUGGUGGAUAAAGUCAAAACAAGACUAGAGCAACUCGAUGACUUUGAGGAAAGUUCAGUUAGACAGAUGUUAGAUUUGUCGCAACAAGAGUAUACAGCCCAGAUUGAGCAACUCAACAAUGAGCUUGUGCAGGCCUGGCAAUCGGAUCAACGUGUGAAGGCAUUGAAAAUUGCAAUUCAGUGCGCAAAAUUAUUAGUGGAUACUUCCGUCAUGCCUUUCUACCCGAGCAAGUUUGUACUGAUUACAGACAUCCUUGAUAUUUUUGGCAAGCUAGUCUACGAUAGGCUCAAGAUGAAAUCUCAAAACUAUUGCAAGCCAGGAAGUAAAGUACCAAACAGUUUGCCCGAUGACUUCACUGCUGACAUGGUGCCAGAGAGUGCAAAGGAAACAUGUCGGAAUUGGUUUUAUAAGAUAGCAUCGAUAAGAGAACUGGUACCAAGACUUUACGUAGAAAUGGCCAUAAUCAAAUCUUACAGUUUCUUAACAACGAGUCCUGUAAGCGAUUCACCGCAUACUUCGUCGAUUCCGAACGAUGGAAGUGCGGAGUAUACGUCAGCAUUGUUACGCAUAACUCGUAUGAUUAGAGGUAUCGGCAACCCUCUGGUUGCUGUUUUUGCCAGAUGCUACUUAUGUCGAGUGGGUCGUGCUUUGGGACGUACAUCAGACCAAGAGAUUAUAAAAGAGAACUUGUACGAUUUUCUCUUUACGUAUCGACAGCUUUUUUCUCAAUCAGUUAAAAAUGAAAUAAGCAAGCAAGAUGUAUCAUUCCACUUAUAUUUGAGUCUGUACACCCCCGCAUUGGAUUGGAUAGUAGAAGUUAUGGCAGCAACAUCAACGGAUGAUGUUUUGGAUGAAAUACUUUCCCGGUGCAAGCAACAAACGUACAUUGGAUUGCUAUUAAAUACGAUUCUGAAUGCAUUUAAGCCAACGUAUGUAGCACCUCGUUCGAUGGAAUUUGUUAAAUUGGUUGAAACAUGUGUAAAUGAUGGUUUUCCUCAGUACCUCCUGUAUCGUAGCCUUGGCGAAUGCCUCUUGCAAGAGUCACCACCAAAGGAUGAUUGUCAACUUGUCCUUACCACGGUUUGGAAGUACGUGGUAGAACUUCACGAUCCUUCUCAGUUCAUGCACUGUACAGAAAUUUGGAUCGAAUUCGUCGUUACCCACUUCUCCACGAGCGAGUUGAACGGGUAUCUAGGUGAAAUAAUUAGCCACUUGACUCCAAAUAGAUCCUUCGAACACUUCUACCCUCAACUACAAAACAUUGUCAAGAAGAUCAUCGUUCGUACGCAGGAUCUCGAAUCUCUUCUAACAAUGGAGAAUUUCUUGCCUCUGAUCGAUCUCUUCCACAAGGACAACAUAAAGGUGGAUGUUUGUAAGACAAUUAUCGAAGGACUUAGCGUGCAGACAGGUUCGAUUACAGAUCCAGUGAUCAUCAAUGCCCUCAUGUUUAUUGCUAAGAUAAUGCAUGAUUCAGUCAGUGCUCUCACCGUUGAAGACGAGAAGAGACAGAUCGGCAAUCUAAUUUGCGGCUUGGUGCAACGCGUCGAUUAUGGACGAGAUUUCGAGAAACAAUUGAAUUUUUACGCGGAAGCUAGAGCUGCCUUUCCUAACCUUGACUCGGUUCACAUUCAACUGGUACAGACUAUCCAUAGACACGAGAAAGAUCGUAAGAGGCCAUCACACAAGAAGGACGUCGGCAUUCGUUCGGGCUUGUGCAGCCUUUUGCUUCAUCACAAUUCCAUCGUUAACUUUGGUAUUCACAAGGCUUCAAUUGUACCUACUUUCCGGUCAAGUGGCACUUCUGAAUCAAUGCUUAGGACAAGCCGAUGCCUGCUUUAAAGCUGCUCUGAAUUUGGUAUCCGAAAUGCCAAAGACAAUUGACAUCGAUGGGAGGCAAAAAAAUUCAGAACCCUGCUUACUCUCGUACCUGUCGAAUUUUCUAUCAACCCUACUUGUUGUGCCAGAUAGUCCGGAGCAUGGAGUACUAUACUUGAUGAGAGGUCUGUUAAAUGCAGUUCAGCGUUGCUUCGACGAGAACUCGUCGACAAAAGCGCAUCUGUAUUUAAGGGUUCUGGACCUACUGUCG